UAGCAUCCACUGAUAGGCCUGUUGCCAUAAUCGGUGGUGUCUGGGCUUGCACAAGGAUGCAAUAGUAAUUUUCCUCAUGAUGCCUGGCCAUCAUCUGAAUGGUGGCUGGAAAGGAUUAAAUUGAGGAGGAUAGAA